rnacentral:tRNA from 1 species
GCAGGGAUAGUGAAGUGGUCAAACACGACAGUCUGUAAAACUGUUGGCAUUCGCCUUCGCAGGUUCGAAUCCUGCUCCCUGCA